CCUACGGGAGGCAGCAGUGGGGAAUCUUGCACAAUGGAGGAAACUCUGAUGCAGCGAUGCCGCGUGAGUGAAGAAGGCCUUUGGGUUGUAAAGCUCUUUUGUAGGGGAAGAUAAUGACUGUACCCUAAGAAUAAGGUCCGGCUAACUUCGUGCCAGCAGCCGCGGUAAUACGAAGGGACCUAGCGUAGUUCGGAAUUACUGGGCGUAAAGCGCGCGUAGGCCGUUGAGUUAGUUAAUUGUGAAAUCCCAAAGCUUAACUUUGGAACUGCAAUUAAAACUGCUCGACUAGAGUUUGAUAGAGGAAAGCGGAAUACAUAGUGUAGAGGUGAAAUUCGUAGAUAUUAUGUAGAACACCAGUUGCGAAGGCGGCUUUCUGGAUCAACACUGACGCUGAGGCGCGAAAGUAUGGGUAGCAAAGAGGAUUAGAUACCCUCGUAGCCCAUACCAUAAACGAUGAUUGCUAGAUGUUGGAAAUUUAUUUUCAGUAUCGCAGCUAACGCAUUAAGCAAUCCGCCUGGGGAGUACGACCGCAAGGUUAAAACUCAAAGAGAUUGGUACGUGUUAGAGUAGUUGACGAGCACGAGGAGGGAGAG
rnacentral:rRNA from 1 species